AAGUCGUAACAAGGUUUCCGUAGGUGAACCUGCGGAAGGAUCAUUAACACGUAUCCAACGUUAAACCCCCCUGUGCCCAUGAUGACAGCAAUCCUGGUAAAUCAGUGGCGAAAGUAGUCUUUGAUUCAGGACCUCUGUCUAGUGAGAAGUUAUAGCGGGCAAUUGAGCCUUUUAUCGUCAGUCUGGAGUCCUGGCCGGGCGAAUGAAAGUGUCGCUAGACGGUUUCUAGGGUAAGGCUUCGCCAUCGCUGGAGGCUCAUCACGGGCCGGCGGACAGACUGCAGGGUCACCAUGCCCCUUUAUGACGACCAAGUUAAAUUAGGCCUCUACCACAUAGCAAGUGCGCCGUGGUAGAGGAAAACGUACAACUGUUAACAAUGGAUAUCUUGGUUCUC
rnacentral:misc_RNA from 1 species